rnacentral:rRNA from 1 species
AGUUCGAUCCCUGGCUCAGAUUGAACGCUGGCGGAUGCUUUACACAUGCAAGUCGAACGCAGCACGGACUUUCGGUCUUGGUGGCGAGUGGCGAACGGGUGAGUAAUGUAUCGGAACGUGCCUAGUAUGGGGAUAACUACGCGAAAGCGUAGCUAAUACCGCAUAUACGCCCUUCGGGGGAAAGUGGGGGACUCGGGCCUGCAGUCUAUUAGAGCGGCCGAUAUCGGAUUAGCUAGUUGGUGGGGUAACGGCUCACCAAGGCGACGAUCCGUAGCUGGUUUGAGAGGACGACCAGCCACACUGGGACUGAUGACACGGCCCAGACUCCUACGGAGGCAGCAGUGGGGAAUUUUGACAAUGGGGGAAACCCUGAUCCAGCUAUCCCAUGUGUGCGAUGAAGGCCUUCGCUGUAAAGCACUUUUGGCAGGAAAAGAACGGCACGGAUAAUACCCUGUGUAACCAGACGGUACCUGCAGAAUACACCGCUAACUACGUGCCAGCAACCGCGGUAAUAACAGUAGGGGAAAGCGUUAACUGGAAUUACUGGGCGAAGCGCAGGCGGUUCGGAAAGAAAGAUGAAAUCCCAGAGCUUAACUUUGGAACUGCAUUUUUAACUACUGAGCUAGGGAGGUGUCAUUAGAGGAGGUGGAAUUGUGUGUAGCAGUGAAAUGCGUGAUAUGCGGAAAGGAACACCGAGGCGAAGGCAGCCUCCUGAUAACACUGACGCCAUGCACGAAAGCGGGAGCAAACAGGAUUAGAUACCCUGGUAGUCCACGCCCUAAACGAUGUCAACUAGCUGUUGGGGCCUUUCGGGCCUUGCAGGCGCAGCUAACGUGUGAAGUUGACCGGGUUCGGGGAGUACGGUCGCAAGAUUAAACCUCAAAGGAAUUGACGGGGACCCGCACAAGCGGUGGAUGAUGAUUAAUCUGAUGCAACGCGAAAACCCGACGCACUUUGACAUGUCUGGAAUCCCGAAGAGAUUUUGGGAGUGCUCGCAAGAGAACCGAACACAGGUGCUGUAUGGCUGUCGUCAGCUCGUAGCCGUGAGAUGUUGGGUUAAGUCCCGCAACGAGCGCAACCCUUGUCAUUAGUUGCUACGAAAGGGCACUCUAAUGAGACUGCCGGUGACAAACCGAUAGUUGUGGGGAUGACGUCAAGUCCUCAUGGCCCUUAUGGGUAGGGCUUCACACGUCAUACAAUGGUCGGGACAGAGGGUCGCCAACCUGGCGAGGGAGCCAAUCCCAGAAACCCGAUCGUAGUCCGGAUCGCAGUCUGCAACUCGACUGCGUGAAGUCGGAAUCGCUAUAAUCGGUGGAUCAGCAUGUUUCGUAAUACAGGUCUUUCCGGUCUUGUACACACCGCCCGUCACACCAUGUGGGAGUGGGUUCUACCAGGCGUAGCGUAGCCCAACUGUAAGGAGUGGCGAUUACCACGGUAGAUUAUGAUUGGGGUGAAGUCGUAACAAGGUAA